GCUCAGAGAAUCAUACCGCUAAACAUUGAACAUGCACAAGGUGUCAGGCCCUAGGUCGGACCCUGGAGACUUGAAAGUACAGGACAGUCUAGAGUCAGAGAAACCUACAAACCAUAGCAUCAUGAAUUCUUCAGGUUCUGGAAUCUUUAAAAGUAUAGAAUCACAAGACAUUAGAUAAAAUCUAGAAUUACAGGACCUUGGAAACCAAGAACCUCAAGUCUACACAGAACCAACACAGGUUGUUAGAAGUCUCUGUACUUCAUCUCUGGUUCAACCAGGCCAGCCCACCCUGCACGGGAGGCAAGUUUGGAGAAGAAAAGACAUUUCCACUAUAAUGUCAGUGAGGGGGUGGCAACCAGGACACGUGCCAGGGAGAGGAAACUGGCCUGAAGGAUGAGAACGGGGCAAUGAAGUGGCUCCGAAAUAAAGACCAAGGACAGAGGGAGCCCUGACAGCAUAAGGAAAGGCCACAGCUGGAGGCAAACCUUCUUGACCGGUCCCAUUUCCUGCUAAUGGUGGACGUCCCAGGUCCCGGACAAAGCUGAGCAUGGCUGUCCUGAAUGUCUCCUGAAUCCCCGCCUCUCGAGAGAAUUUCAAGAAAAAGAGUAACCACCAGCUUCAAACUCAGCAGAAGCUCAGGCAAGAUGAGGACUGGAAAGUGUUCAUUUAGCACAAGGAGGUCCCGAGCAGCCUUGGACUGGAUCUGCCUGCCUGUAACCUACCUUACCCCAGCCUCCAGGGCAAACGUGCCCCAUGUGGAUCAUGGCAGCUUUACCUGGCCUGUGACAAUUCUGCAAGGUGAGGAGACCAUACUCUCCACCCACACUCACUUCCCCUCAUUUUCUUCUCCAAAACAUCCUCAGUUUCCUCCUUUCUCUGGAUUUUUUUCUAUUGAGAUUUUAAUAAAAACUUUUAAAAUCUCCCAUAUGUGGGAUUUUUGUCACCAUGUAUCAUCAGUCCAGUCCAUAUUUUGACCUCAAAAUAUGCAGAGCUGAAUGGUGGGUGACUCUGAGAGCCAACAGGUCUGAUUUUACUGGGGAAGAAACUGGGGCACAGAGAAGCAAGUGACUUAGCCAAGGUCACAUGAGGAGUCAGUGGCAGAGGAAGGCCAGGAGCCAGGGCCGGAGGGGAAAUUACCGGCCCCAGAUGAGCUGAUGGAAAGAAAUCAGAGGCAGCAAACAUGUGCUCAAGUCAUUGGGAUUCUUGGUAUUUCUAAGAGCCCUUGGCCAUCCCAUCCCGGGGAAAUGAAGGCAGGGGAAGGGGAGGGAGGGAGGCUCCAGAGUUCAGGGCUAGCCCUUCAUGCAGCCACUGCCCAAUGGGUGGGAGGAUGGGAAGACAAAGCUCAAGACAGUGACACCUCCCCUGGUGUAUUUCUGUGCCAAAACACCCAC
rnacentral:lncRNA from 13 species